rfam:Alcaligenaceae bacterium LMG 29303 isolate Orrdi1 genome assembly, contig: contig6
CGGAGCGUAGCGCAGCCUGGUAGCGCACUUGCAUGGGGUGCAAGGGGUCGCGAGUUCGAAUCCCGCCGCUCCGA